rnacentral:rRNA from 1 species
UUCUGACCUCGAAUCAGGUGGGACUACCCGCUGAACUUAAGCAUAUCAAUAAGCGGAGGAAAAGAAACUAACAAGGAUUCCCUUAGUAACUGCGAGUGAAGUGGGAUGAGCUCAAAUUUAAAAUCUGGUAGUCUCUGGCUGCCCGAGUUGUAAUCUAGAGAAGUGUUUUCUGUGCUGGACUGUGUUUAAGUUUCCUGGAUAUGGAACAUCAUAGAGGGUGAGAAUCCCGUCUUUGACACAGACUGCCAGUACUCUGUGAUGCACUCUCAACGAGUCGAGUUGUUUGGGAUUGCAGCUCAAAAUGGGAGGUAAAUUC